UCUCCGACGUCAUCCCUUUGCUGAAUAUAUAAGCUUAGGGAGGGGAACCUGGGGAACUGAAACAUCUUAUUACCCAGAGGAAAAGAGAUUAUUCCGCUAGUAGUGGCGAGCGAACGCGGAUCAGCCCAAACCAGUCCGGCUUGCCGGAUUGGGGUUGUAGGACCAGCGUAUGGGAGUUAGAAAUCGGAUGGCUAGCAGAAUGGUGUUGAAAAGCCUACCAUAGAGGGUGCUAGUCCCGUAAGCGAAAGCCGUCCGACUCCCGCUGAGUUCCUGAGUACCACCGGGCACGCUAAUCCGGUGGGAAGCUGGGGAGCCCACUCUCCAAGGCUAAAUACAUUUGGCAACCGAUAGUGAACAAGUACCGUGAGGGAAAGGUGAAAAGAACCCCUGUUAGGGGAGUGAAAUAGAAUCUGAAACCGUGCGCUUACAAGCAGUCGGAGGGCUAAUGGCGGGUCUGUGUCCCCGGGAAACCGGGUGAUGCGCCGCUAGGCCUGACGGCGUGCCUUUUGGAGAAUGAGCCGGCGAGUUAAUUUUUGUGGCGAGGUUAAGGGAGAAACACCCGGAGCCGUAGCGAAAGCGAGUCUGAAUAGGGCGUUGAGUCGCAAGGAUUAGACACGAAACCAGGUGAGCUACCCAUGGCCAGGGUGAAGCGAGUCUAAACACUCGUGGAGGCCCGAACCUUUAGCUGUUGCAAAAGCUUGGGAUGAGCUGUGGGUAGAGGUGAUAUGCCAAACGAACCUGGAGAUAGCUUGUUCUCCCCGAAAUAGCUUUAGGGCUAGCCUCACGCGUUCAGUACCGGAGGUAGAGCACUGGAUGGGCUAGGGGGCAAAUAGCUUACCGAACUCAACCAAACUCCGAAUGCCGGUACUUAAAAGCGUGGGAGUCGGACUACGGGAGAUGAGUUUCGUAGUCGAGAGGGAAAGAGCCCAGACCGCCGGCUAAGGUCCUUAAGUUCAGGCUAAGUGGGAAACGUUGUGGGAUUGCGCGGACAGCCAGGAGGUUGGCUUAGAAGCAGCCACCCUUUAAAGAGUGCGUAAUAGCUCACUGGUCGAACGCUUUUGCGCGGAAAAUUUAACGGGGCUUAAGCAUAGUACCGAAGCCACGGAUAGUAAUGGUUUGCCAUUGCUAUGGUAGGAGAGCGUUCUGUAGGAGAUACAAGGUUGACUGAAAAGACAGCUGUGGCCUACAGAAGUGAGAAUGCUGGCAUGAGUAGCGUAAAACAUGUGAGAAACAUGUUCCCCGUAAACCUAAGGUUUCCGACGGAAGGUUAAUCCGCGUCGGGUCAGUCGGUCCUUAGCCGAGGCCGAGAGGCGUAGGUGAUGGAUAUCCGGUUAAUAUUCCGGAACCACUUAAACAGAGCGAUGAGGGGACGCAGCAUGGUAGGUCAGCCUCUUAAUGGAUUGAGGUGCCAAACGUCUAGGGUAACGAUGAGUGUAGGUAAAUCCGCACUCGGAGCCUGAAGCGUGAUGGCGGUGCCAAUAGAGCCGAAAGUGAUUGAGCCAAGCUGCCAAGAAAAUCCUCUAAGCGAUGAAGUUUAAGUGACCGUACCGCAAACCGACACUGGUAGGUGGGUAGAGUAUACCAAGGGGAUCGGGAGAACCCUCGUUAAGGAACUAGGCAAAAUACCUCCGUAACUUCGGGAGAAGGAGGGCCUCUAGCGGUUAGCAAUUAAGCGAAGCUGUUGGAGGUCGCAGAGAAAUGGCUUUUCCAACUGUUUAACAAAAACACAGGUCUCUGCUAAGUCGAAAGACGAUGUAUAGGGGCUGACGCCUGCCCAGUGCUGGAAGGUUAAGGGGAGGGGUUAGAGCCGCCUUCGUUCGGCCCGAAGCUCUGAACCGAAGCCCCAGUGAACGGCGGCCGUAACUAUAACGGUCCUAAGGUAGCGAAAUUCCUUGUCGGGUAAGUUCCGACCCGCACGAAUGGCGUAAUGAGAGGAGCACUGUCUCGACGAGGGACUCGGCGAAAUUGAAGUACGUGUAAAGAUGCGCGUUACCCGCAGCAGGACAAAAAGACCCCGUGGAGCUUUACUACAGCUUGGCAUUGCGUUAGGGCUUAGUCUGUGUAGGAUAGGUGGGAGGCUGUGAAGCUGGGACGCUCAGUCUCGGUGGAGCCGCACUUGAAAUACCACCCUGAUUAAGUCUUGGCCCUAACCUGCGUCCGUUAACCGGCGUGGGGACAGUGCCUGGUGGGUAGUUUGACUGGGGCGGUCGCCUCCGAAAGAGUAACAGAGGCGCCCAAAGGUUCCCUCAGGCUGAAUGGAAACCAGCCGCAGAGUGUAAAGGCACAAGGGAGCUUGACUGCAAGACCUACAAGUCGCGCAGGGACGAAAGUCGGGCUUAGUGAUCCCACGGUACCGAGUGGAAGGGCCGUGGCUUACCGGAUAAAAGCUACCCCGGGGAUAACAGGCUAGUCUGGUCCAAGAGUUCAUAUCGACGACCAGGCUCGGCACCUCGAUGUCGGCUCAUCGCAUCCUGGGGCUGGAUAAGGUCCCAAGGGUUGGGCUGUUCGCCCAUUAAAGCGGUACGUGAGCUGGGUUCAGACCGUCGUGAGACAGGUCGGUCUCUAUCCGCUGUGGGCGCAAGGGAUUUGAGAGGAGCUGCCCCUAGUACGAGAGGACCGGGGUGGACAGACCUCUAGUGUGCCAGUUGUUCCGCCAGGAGCAUCGCUGGGUAGCUACGUCUGGCAGAGAUAACCGCUGAAAGCAUCUAAGCGGGAAGCUCGCCUCAAGAUAAGAUCCCUCAUCCAAGUGCUUUGCGCUUGGAGUAAGACCGCUAGGAGACUACUAGUUUGAUAGGCGGCAUGUGUAAGUGCAGUAAUGUACUCAGCUAAGCCGUACUAAUGGUCGAGGGCUUACAUUG
rnacentral:rRNA from 1 species